rnacentral:rRNA from 1 species
UACAGAGGGUGCGAGCGUUGUCCGGAAUCACUGGGCGUAAAGGGCGCGUAGGCGGCCCGGUAAGGUUGCGGUGAAAGCCCGGGGCUCAACCCCGGGUCGGCCGUGGCAACUGCUGGGCUGGAGCACAGUAGAGGCGGGUGGAAUUCCGGGUGUAGCGGUGGAAUGCGUAGAGAUCCGGAAGAACACCGGUGGCGAAGGCGGCCCGCUGGGGCUGUUGCUGACGCUGAGGCGCGACAGCGUGGGGAGCAAACAGG